AAGAUUAAGCCAUGCAUGUCCAAGUAUAAACCAAAUUAUACGGUGAAACUGCGAAUGGCUCAUUAUAUCAGUUAUGGUUUAUUUGAUGAUACCUACCACUUGGAUAACCGUGGUAAUUCUAGAGCUAAUACAUGCACUAGUGUCCCGACUUCAGGAAGGGACGUAUUUAUUAGGUAAAAGCCAACCCGUAGCAAUUACGGUCUCUGGCGACUCAUGAUAACUUUGCGAAUCGCAU
rnacentral:rRNA from 1 species